UCAUGCAAGACCUGCUUGGCACAGAGCGGCUCUGGGGGACUCGAUGCCUGCACGGCCACGCCGGGCACCUGCAGCGGCUCCACCAGCCCCCACAGCCUCCUCCCCCGAGGCCUCCUCAGAAGGACCACAGGGAGGACAAAGUCUCGGCUGCUAGGGGUCAGGUCAAGUGUGCUUCCUUGACCAGCUCCCGCCGAGCCCAGGUCUCUGGACGCUGCCAGCUUUGGACGUUGGCAGCCCGAAGCUGAGAUGCCCAACUAGCCCGGCUGCCAGGAAAUGCCAGCUGCAAGAUGAGAUUUCAGGAAUAAUAUUUUCCAAAAUCAA